ensembl:lncRNA
GUUCUUAGACCUGGAUGAUGCAGUUAAGACUCAAAUGUGUGCAAUACUAUAGAAAAUGCCUUUAUUAUCAUUACUGAUUGAUAAAGCGGCCACAUUCAGCUCAGACAGAACUGCCAGCGCAAAUGUAAGUAACCUAUCACACACACACACACACACACACACACACACUGAGCUUUGAGGUGAGUGUUAAUCUCUGAGGUGUGUUAGGAAAGCACAGAAGGAAGGAGAUAUCAAGUAAAGCUCAUGUAAAAAUAUUCUAGAGAAAUGAUUUACUAAAAAGCAUCCUAGUAAAAUUUAGAUAAGUAAAAACUCCAUGUGCCAUUCCAGUUUUAGCCCAAUACGAUGGGUUUCAUGAGAAGGAUAACAUGAUAAAGACGUGUUUGAACAUAUAAUCUCUGAGGAAAGAUUCCUCUGGGUUAAAUUCAAAAGAAUCACUUUAUGCACAUCGUUUUUUUUUGUUUUGUUUUUUUUCUCAGCAAAAGCAGGAAUACAUCUCUCACAUAGCUCUCUCAUACCUUAAUACUGAGACAAAGAAACACAUACAAGCUGCUAAAAAUAAACUGGCAUGCAUAGUCAGAAUGUUGACAAUAAAACCAAAAAACACCCCUCAGGAUGUUAACAAUCCCGACACUCGAAAAUAAAAGCAACCCUGUUAAUAAAACGCUUCGUUUCCAGACAAAAUGCUUAACAGGCGUCUCUCAGAGUCGGUUUCAACAUGUUUGAAAUCAAUCAGAAUAUUUAAACCCGUGGAAGCAGACAAUCUGUGUAGAGCUGCGCACCUCCUCAUUGGAGAGGAACUUCACUUUUGGCACAGUGUGUUUCAUUUUUCAUGAAGCUGCACCUCCUUGUUCCCUGCAGGCGUCUCCUCGGUGUUCUUGCUGAAUGUGUGUGUGCUGAACAAAAGCCUUGGUUGUUUACGUCAAGGUAUCUCCUUGCGGUUGGGUGAUGAAGAGCAGGUGGCCUCAUUUGCAGAGAGCACUUCCUCAGAAGCAGCACCUUCACUGCCUCCUCUUCCUCCACGUGGCUGUCGGGCAGGCGAGGGCGAUUGCGUUCCCCUCCCGCGCCGUGCCGCCUGUCCGCCUGUGGGACCUGCUCCGUGGGCUUUUCAUCAGCUGCCAUUUUCACCAGCAUGCAGGAACUCGCAGGACAAGGAUAAUAACCAUUCCUGUUAAUUGUGUUUUGGUGAAGAAACAAGGCCUAUCGUUCUGCAGUCUGAUCUACCCGGCUAUCCCAAUCCAGUCCAAACAGGGAGAAUAAACAGAGAAUCAAAUCGAGAAUCAGUGGAAACUGUGUACAAGACUCUUUGAAGGUGAAGUGCACAGAUUUUAGAUAUUAAAUCAACAUGAUACAUUGUUUGCAGUACAUUAAGCAUCCGUAAUGUGAUGUAUUUUUGAGUGAACCAGAAUUUUCAACAAAAAAUGGUGGGGCUUGAUUUCAUCCAUGAAUUGUGAAUUAGGUAUUUACAACAGCUUUGAAUGGUUCUCAUUUAUUCACAAAUAUGCAUUUCAUAAUACACUUUUAAUUUUACUGUUUUUAUACUUUUAAGUCCAGUGUUCCAUAAUGUAAAAUACUAAAAGAGUACUUUUCAUUUGUAAAAUAUUUGUAGAUUAUUAGUAGAUUAUUUUGAAAUCCAAACUAAUAUUUAAUUCAGUAGAUUAUUUAGAAAUACAGCCUUUUUUGUUGAAUUAAUAAAAAAAAUAAAUGCUGCA